rnacentral:tRNA from 1 species
CCUUCGAUAGCUCAGUUGGUAGAGCGGAGGACUGUAGAUCCUUAGGUCGCUGGUUCGAGUCCGGCUCGAAGGA